UCCCUCAUAGCUCAGUUGGUAAAGAAUCUGCCUGCAAUGCAGAAGACCCAGGUUCGAUUCCUGGGUUGGGAA
rnacentral:tRNA from 1 species